UUAGAAGGACAGGACUCGAACCCGCACCUAGAAGCUCAAAACCUCCAGCACUCCAUUAUACUACCCUCUA
rnacentral:tRNA from 3 species